ACCUCCCUUUAGCAGGAAGAGAAAAAUGGGCUGAACUCCUGACACUUGGAGAAAUACCUGAUUCCCCACCAAGCUGCCCAUGAUUUCAGUGGAAAUAAUCCUUUAGCACUGAUGUCUUUGCAUGCGCACCCUGUGCAGAAACUCUGGAUUGUUUAUGAAGCAAUUUAGCGGUUGAAGAUCCAGAUAAAGCCUGAUUAACUCAGGAUGGAUGCUUGGAGAUUUUCAGUGGCUAACUCUCACCACCAUUGGAAUGAGAAAUCUAAUAUCCUUUCUGUAGAUAGCUGGAUGAUUGGGUCAAGUGAAUUCUAUCGCAUAAACGCAACAGGAACAUAGUGUGGCAACAGCGUCCUAAAAGCUGACUGUAAAUGACAUGGACAUUGGAUGUGUGUGAGGUAAGCUCCUAAACUAUGAGUUUGCAUGUUUUUUAUAACAAACUGUUAUUAAACUAGAAGAUUUGGGGUAUUUUCCUACAUUAAGUAGGAAAGCAG
rnacentral:lncRNA from 1 species